rnacentral:rRNA from 1 species
AGAGCUUGCUCUCUUGGCGGCGAGUGGCGGACGGGUGAGUAAUAUAUCGGAACGUGCCCAGUAGCGGGGGAUAACUACUCGAAAGAGUGGCUAAUACCGCAUACGCCCUACGGGGGAAAGGGGGGGAUCGCAAGACCUCUCACUAUUGGAGCGGCCGAUAUCGGAUUAGCUAGUUGGUGGGGUAAAGGCUCACCAAGGCAACGAUCCGUAGCUGGUUUGAGAGGACGACCAGCCACACUGGGACUGAGACACGGCCCAGACUCCUACGGGAGGCAGCAGUGGGGAAUUUUGGACAAUGGGGGAAACCCUGAUCCAGCCAUCCCGCGUGUAUGAUGAAGGCCUUCGGGUUGUAAAGUACUUUUGGCAGAGAAGAAAAGGUAUCCCCUAAUACGGGAUACUGCUGACGGUAUCUGCAGAAUAAGCACCGGCUAACUACGUGCCAGCAGCCGCGGUAAUACGUAGGGUGCAAGCGUUAAUCGGAAUUACUGGGCGUAAAGCGUGUGUAGGCGGUUCGGAAAGAAAGAUGUGAAAUCCCAGGGCUCAACCUUGGAACUGCAUUUUUAACUGCCGAGCUAGAGUAUGUCAGAGGGGGGUAGAAUUCCCGGUGUAGCAGUGAAAUG